rnacentral:rRNA from 1 species
AUGUUUACGAUGAAUGUGCCCAAAUUCUUGUGGAGUGAAGCAAUUAUGACAGCCACAUACUUGAUCAACAGGACACCAUCAAGAAUACUAAGCAUGAAAUCUCCGUGUGAGCUAGUAUAUGGAGAAACUAAGUUUGUUGUCCCCCCAAAGUUGUUUGGCAGUACUUGUUUUGUUCGAGAUCACCGUCCUUCUGUUGGAAAACUUGAUCCGCGGGCAGUGAAGUGUAUUUUUCUGGGCUAUUCUUCUAGUCAGCAGGGAUAUAAAUGUUGGUGUCCCUCAGAGAAACGCAGGUUUGUCAGUAUGGACGUAACCUUCAGGGAGUCUGAGCCAUUCUAUGGUGAGCCAAUAGAUCUAAGUGUGUUGUUUCAAGAGCUUGACCAUUUCCACUCUGUGCAAGAUGGUCAAGAGGGGAAGAAGGCUGUAUCUCACACUCACGCGGAUUCUGUGGGCACUAACAUUGGUGAUGAUGAUGUGCAGGUUCAAGUCCAGCCAAUUGUGGGUACAAUUUCGGUUGGUACUCUCACUGAUGGUGAUAUGCAGGUACGGGUCCAACCAACCGUGGGUUCCAUUCAGAUUGGUAAUCUCCAGCUCCCUGUUCGAGAUUGGUGGCAGAAGAUCCCCCUAGUGUACUCUCGGCGAGAGCCACAAGUGCCACAGGUGCAUGACUCAUCUGACACUCGUCUGGUAUAUUCUCGGCGGCAGCCACUUGUGCAGGAGGGGGAGCAACAAGUGCAGGGGGAGCAGUCAGUGCAGGGGGAGCAGCAAGGCAGUGGUGCAAGCUCAUCUGACACAGUGGAGCUACCUAUUGCGUUGUGA